GGGAAUCAGAGCUGUACCAUUAGGAAUACAGAUUUGUAUUCCUUUAAAAGGACACUCUAAGACUAUAAGGAUCAAAGCUUAUUGUAGUGGUGCUGGUGUAAGACCCUGUCCUUCACCUUUUUUAAAAAUAAGUAAUUUUUUUCAUAUAAUACAAAAUAUGCAGUGCUGCAGCUCCACCCCAUGGUAAAUGUGAAUACUACAUACUGCAAGUAAACUCUUGUCGUUCAUGAAGAUAUUAUAAGGAAAAGCAUGCUGAAUCUGGCAAACCUAGUGAUUGCUGAUAAUAGCCUGCAUUAUCUAGUAACAGUACUGCUGCAGCGUCCGGUUCUGCAGUAAAACAUGCUUAAAAUAAGUGCAAAUUAAAACAUUACAUUUUUAAAAAGAAAUCAAUGCAGACUGUGCUUGUUAUGAUUUACUAUCUAAUGUGAAGUGUUAAAGUCCAUUUAAUCAGCUGUGCUGUAUUUUCCUUACCUUUCGCUCCAGCUGCUAAGCCUGGGAUAGCGUUGUUCCUCAGGCUGCCUUGUCCGAGUGAAUCCCUGUGUUAAGACUGCUGUGUAAUGCAAUCCACAGAGUAAUGAGGCAGUCAUUCAUUAUGCAUUUUGUAAAAGCCCUUUAUAGGCAAAGGCUUUAUUUUUAGUCCGUAAAACACAAAGUGCAGACGGGAUGUGAAAGCAGACUGGGAUUUAUCGGUCACUUAAAGGGACACUCCAAGCACCAUAACAACCUGCGCUCGUUGCAGUGCUGCCCCCGUCACUGCAGCACUGCACAUAAUUGCCUAUAAUUGGAGCAAUUUGUUAAAAGAAAGUGGAGAUGCAAUCACUGCUGCAGCUACUUUCAUAACACAGUGCGGCUGUUAUUUUAUCUGAAGGAAUGGGUACCAAACACCGAAAUUACAUGUCUCCUGGGCCGGAGUUUAUGGGAUGUGUCUGUUUCCUUUUGAAAACAAGUGGAACAUCAGGAUUGACCGAACCAGUUCCUGGUUUGGUGAGGAUAUAUAUAUAUUCCACCAGCCUAUAGAGUGCCGACAGUAAUCGUGGCGAUGCACAAAGCAUGACAAGUGAGAUGACGUGUAACACAAGCUCAUGUUUAAACAUCUUGUGCUGCACUAUGCUCAUCAUGGCAUUUAUGACCAUAGGAAGGUCCAUAUCCAGAACUGACGAGAGAGCAAUGAGCACAAAUCAGCUGCUUGAUUUCCUUAGGGUAUCUGCAUCAAUACUGCAGCAUCAAUAGACACAAUGUGUGUUUGAUCUUGUACAGGAUGUAUCUGUGGCCAGUCCUGUACCAUUCCCUUCAUUCUGGGCGAUAAUUCGGAAGUCAGCUAGACAUGUGCACAGCAAACAAAUUUGGUUCCAGUUUGAGUCAAUCAGUUUGAAAAUAGAAUGUUGCUUCCUGUUCAGAAGAAUUUCAAACCCAUGCGAUCAGUUUGGGAAAAACUAUUUAGACAAACCAAAAUGCUGCAAUGCAAACACGGCUAAAACGUUUCCUAGUCCAGGGGUAGGAAAGCUUCGGCACACCAGAUUUUGUGGAAUAAAUCUCCCAUAAUACUCUUACAACCAUAAUGCUGGCAAAGCAUGAUGGGUUGGGGAGUCCAAAACAUCUUGAGUGCCAAAAGGUGCCUACCCCUGGCCUAGCCUAAUGCCUAUGCUAAAUCAUGUAUUUUUUUAAUAUGGCUGGUGAGCUGACACAAUUUUAUUAUAUCUGUAUUACAAAAAUAUUAAGUAACUUAGCUUUAACUUGAUGACCCGGUCUCCCCACCCAUCCCAAAAAUGAAUAAGGCUUUCCAAAACAUCAAGUCUGUAGCAUGAGUGACUGUUCUUCAUUGUGAAACUAAGCUGUGCCCUAUCAGCUUAUACAAACUGGCAGGUGAAUGAAAUAAAUCAGUGCAGAUAAACACUGCCUGGCCCCCCAAAAAAAGUCACCACCUGGAUUUAACUAAGCAAAUAGGUAAGAGCCUCCUAUUGGAUAGUUACUGCAUGGGUGAUUAUCUUUCAGCUGGCAACAAGUUAUUUACCCUCAACUGAUGCAAUGAGUAGCUUCUCAUUUCUUAAACAACCAUGUCGAAAGACACAUCCCGUGGUCGUGGAAAAGAUGUUAGUCUGUGUGAGAAGGGUCAAAUCAUUGGCAUGCAUCAACCAGGGAAAACAUCUAAGGAGAUUGCAGAAACUACUAAAAUUGGUUUAAGAACUGUCCAACGCAUUCUUAAAAACUGUAAGGAUAGUGGGGAACCAUCGUCUUCGAGGAAGAAAUAUGGUCGGAAAAAGAUCCUGAUUGAUCGUGAUCGGCGAUGACUUAAACGUUUGGUGAAAUCAAAUCGUAGAAAAACAACAGUAGAACUCAGGGCUAUGUUUAAUUGUUCCACACACACAAUGCGAAGGGAACUCAAGGGAUUGGGACUGAACAGCUGUGUAGCCUUAAGAAAAACACUAAUCAGUGAGGAUAAUCGGAAAAAAAGGCUUCAAUUUGCUAGGGAGCAUAAAGAUUGGACUCUGGAGCAAUGGAAGUGGUCUGAUGAGUCCAGAUUUACCCUGUUCCAGCGUGAUGGGUGCAUCAGGGUAAGAAGAGAGGCAGAUGAAGUGAUGCACCCAUCAUGCAUAGUGUCUACUGUACAAGCCUGUGGGGGCAGUGCUAUGAUCUGGAGUUGCUGCAGUUGGUCAGGUCUAGGUUCUGCAACAUUGUGUGCCCAAAGAAUGAGGUCAGCUGACUACCUGAAUAUUCUGGUUGACCAGGUUGGUCAAUGGAUUUUUUCUUUCCUAAUAGCACUGGCAUAUUCCAAGAUGACAAUGCCAGGAUUUAUCGUGCUUGAAUUGUGAAAGAAUGGUUCAGGGAGCAUGAGACAUCAUUUCCACACAUGGAUUGGCCACCACAGAGUCCAGACCUUAACGCCAUUGAGAAUCUUUUGGAUGUGCUGGAAAAGGCUUUGCGCAGUUGUCCGACUCUCCCAUCAUCAUUACAAGAUCUUGGUGAAAAAUUAAUGCAACACUGGUCGGAAAUAACUCUUGUGACAUUGCAGAAGCUUAUCAAAACAAUGCCACAGCGAAUGCACGCCGUAAUCAAAGCUAAAGGGGGUCCAACAAAAUAUUAGAGUGUGUGACAUUUUUUUUUUUUUUUUGGUGGUGACUUUUAUUUUGGCCUGGCAGUGUAUAUUGAAUUACGAUAAUCACACAAAUACAAAUAAAUACAAACAGUGCAAAAUAAUAGCUAAUUCCUAAUAAACUUUGCUGCUAUAAUGUCUCAGUCCUGUGUAGUUUCUGUAGCACCACAACCACAGUCUGUAUGUGCUCAGCAUACAACCCUACCCACCAAUAUGUCAGAAUUGGAACGGUUAAUGAGAUAGGGUGAGUGUGGCAGGGUGAAAGGGGGUGAGUGUGACAGAGUGAUGGAGAAUGCGUGUGACAGGAUUGUGGGGUUGAGUGGGACAGUGCUAGAGAAGGUAAGUUUAAUUGGAUGAAUAUGGCAGAGUGAUGGGUGGUGAGUAUGGCAUUGGUAUUGGCAUUGUGUGUCAGUACAGGGGAUGUAUUGUGUAUAUAGGGCAGUAGAGUGUUUGUAGUGUCUUUGUGUGUCAGUACAGGGGACGUAGCGUGUACAUAGGGCAGUAGAGUGUGUGUAGUAUGUGCAUGAGUGCAAAGAUUGUAGUGUUGAUAUAGGGGUUUAGAGUGUGUGUAGUGUGUUUGUGUGUUUGAGUGCAGUGGUUGCAGUGUGUAUAUAGGGGUAUAGAGUGUGUGUAGUGUGUUUGUGUGUGUAAGUGCAGUGGUUGCAGUAUGUAUAUAGGGGUAUAGAGUGUGUGUAGUGUGUUUGUGUGUGUAAGUGCAGUGGUUGCAGUAUGUAUAUAGGGGUAUAGAGUGUGUGUAGUGUGUUUGUGUGUGUAAGUGCAGUGGUUGCAGUAUGUAUAUAGGGGUAUGUAGUGUGUUUGUGUGUGUGUAAGUGCAGUGGUUGCAGUGUGUAUAUAUAGGGGUAUAGAGGGUGUAGUGUGUUUGUGUGUGUGUAAGUGUAGUGGUUGCAGUGUGUAUAUAUAGGGGUAUAGAGUGUGUGUAGUGUGUGUGUGUGUGUGUAAGUACAGUGGUUGCAGUGUGUGUAUAUAUAGGGGUAUAGAGUGUGUGUAGUGUGUUUGUGUGUGUACGUGCAGUGGUUGCAGUGUGUAUAUAUAGGGGUACAGAGUGUGUGUAGUGUGUGUGUGUGUGUGUAAGUGCAGUGGUUGCAGUGUGUAUAUAUAGGGGUAUAGAGUGUGUGUAGUGUGUGUGUGUGUGUGUGUGUGUGUGUGUGUGUAAGUGCAGUGGUUGCAGUGUGUAUAUAUAGGGGUACAGAGUGUGUGUAGUGUGUGUGUGUGUGUGUGUAAGUGCAGUGGUUGCAGUGUGUAUAUAUAGGGGUAUAGAGUGUGUGUGUGUAAGUACAGUGGUUGCAGUGUGUAUACAUAGGGGUACAGAGUGUGUGUAGUGUGUGUGUAAGUGCAGUGGUUGCAGUGUGUAUAUAUAGGGGUACAGAGUGUGUGUAGUGUGUGUGUGUGUGUAAGUGCAGUGGUUGCAGUGUGUAUAUAUAGGGGUAUAGAGUAUGUGUAGUGUGUGUGUGUGUGUGUGUGUAAGUACAGUGGUUGCAGUGUGUAUAUAUAGGGGUAUAGAGUGUGUGUAGUGUGUUUGUGUGUGUCCGUGCAGUGGUUGCAGUGUGUAUAUAUAGGGGUACAGAGUGUGUGUAGUGUGUGUGUGUGUGUGUGUAAGUGCAGUGGUUGCAGUGUGUAUAUAUAGGGGUAUAGAGUGUGUGUAGUGUGUGUGUGUGUAAGUGCAGUGGUUGCAGUAUGUAUAUAGGGGUAUAGAGUGUGUGUAGUGUGUGUGUGUGUAAGUGCAGUGGUUGCAGUAUGUAUAUAGGGGUAUAAAGUGUGUGCAGUGUGUUUGUGUGUGUAUGUGCAGUGGUUGUAGUGUGUAUAUAUAGGGGUAUAGAGUAUGUGUAGUGUGUGUGUGUGUGUGUGUGUGUGUAAGUACAGUGGUUGCAGUGUGUAUAUAUAGGGGUAUAGAGUGUGUGUAGUGUGUUUGUGUGUGUACGUGCAGUGGUUGCAGUGUGUAUAUAUAGGGGUAUAGAGUGUGUGUAGUGUGUGUGUGUAAAUGCAGUGGUUGCAGUGUGUAUAUAUAGGGGGUACAGAGUGUGUGUAGUGUGUGUGUGUGUGGUAUGAGGAGUGCAGUGGUUGCAGUGUGUAUAUAUAGGGGUAUAGAGUGUGUGUAGUGUGUGUGUGUGUGUGUGUGUGUGUGUAAGUGCAGUGGUUGCAGUGUGUAUAUAUAGGGGUACAGAGUGUGUGUAGUGUGUGUGUGUGUGUGUGUGUGUAAGUGCAGUGGUUGCAGUGUGUAUAUAUAGGGGUAUAGAGUGUGUGUGUGUAAGUACAGUGGUUGCAGUGUGUAUACAUAGGGGUACAGAGUGUGUGUAGUGUGUGUGUAAGUGCAGUGGUUGCAGUGUGUAUAUAUAGGGGUACAGAGUGUGUGUAGUGUGUGUGUGUGUGUGUGAGUGCAGUGGUUGCAGUGUGUAUAUAUAGGGGUAUAGAGUGUGUGUGUGUAAGUACAGUGGUUGCAGUGUGUAUACAUAGGGGUACAGAGUGUGUGUAGUGUGUGUGUGAGUGCAGUGGUUGCAGUGUGUAUAUAUAGGGGUACAGAGUGUGUGUAGUGUGUGUGUGUGUGUAAGUGCAGUGGUUGCAGUGUGUAUAUAUAGGGGUAUAGAGUAUGUGUAGUGUGUGUGUGUGUGUGUGUGUAAGUACAGUGGUUGCAGUGUGUAUAUAUAGGGGUAUAGAGUGUGUGUAGUGUGUUUGUGUGUGUCCGUGCAGUGGUUGCAGUGUGUAUAUAUAGGGGUACAGAGUGUGUGUAGUGUGUGUGUGUGUGUGUGUAAGUGCAGUGGUUGCAGUGUGUAUAUAUAGGGGUAUAGAGUGUGUGUAGUGUGUGUGUGUGUAAGUGCAGUGGUUGCAGUAUGUAUAUAGGGGUAUAGAGUGUGUGUAGUGUGUGUGUGUGUAAGUGCAGUGGUUGCAGUAUGUAUAUAGGGGUAUAAAGUGUGUGCAGUGUGUUUGUGUGUGUAUGUGCAGUGGUUGUAGUGUGUAUAUAUAGGGGUAUAGAGUAUGUGUAGUGUGUGUGUGUGUGUGUGUGUGUGUAAGUACAGUGGUUGCAGUGUGUAUAUAUAGGGGUAUAGAGUGUGUGUAGUGUGUUUGUGUGUGUACGUGCAGUGGUUGCAGUGUGUAUAUAUAGGGGUAUAGAGUGUGUGUAGUGUGUGUGUGUGUGUGUGUGUGUGUGUGUGUAAGUGCAGUGGCUGCAGUAUGUAUAUAGGGGUAUAAAGUGUGUGCAGUGUGUUUGUGUGUGUAUGUGCAGUGGUUGUAGUGUGUAUAUAGGGGUAUAGAGUGUGUGCAGUGUGUUUGUAAAUAACUGCAGGGAAUGCUGUGUGCAAGGGGAUGGAUAGGGGCUUAAAUAAUAAAUGCUAUCAUUUAAUGAUUUUUUAUUAAUUAAAAAAAAACAACACAUCUACCCCCCCUCCCUCUAAUUACGUUGUAGGGGGUGAGGGGACAUAAUGAUCCCUGGUUUGAUGAUCCAGUAGACUGGUUAGUUGGACCAUGUCUCUCCCCCUUGCAAACACUGGCGUUUCAGAGUGUUGCCGUGGGUUAUCAUGGCAACGCUCUGAUAAUAUUGGGAGAGACGGAGACUGCUUGGCUUACUUCCCUGGUGAUCUAAUCUCCCCUCUGGCCCAUGAAGAGACAGAGAUCCUCCUUAGGGCCGGUGCUGCUCUGCAUGGGCUUGCAAUGGAGAUCUUCCAUGCCAGCCUCGGCCAGUGGCGUACACAUGACCCAUGGGGCCCCGGUGCGAAAAUUGAUCCGUGGGCCCCCUCCCCGCGCGGGCCGGGCCGCAACACAUGGCGGUGGGCACCUGGUCGCAGGGGUUACAGGGCUGCGACCCCUGCGACCGCGGUAUGUACGCCAGUGCAUGCAGAUGCACACACAC